rfam:Triticum aestivum genome assembly, contig: Triticum_aestivum_CS42_TGACv1_scaffold_222323_3B
GCUUAGUUGGUAAAAGCACAAGACUCUUAACCUUGUGGACGUGGGUUCAAGCCCCAU